rnacentral:rRNA from 1 species
UCCCUUGAUCCAGCCAUGCCGCGUGAGUGAUGAAGGCCCUAGGGUUGUAAAGCUCUUUUAUCCGGGACGAUAAUGACGGUACCGGAAGAAUAAGCCCCGGCUAACUUCNUGCCAGCAGCCGCGGUAAUANGAAGGGGGCUAGCGUUGCUCGGAAUCACUGGGCGUAAAGGGCGCGUAGGCGGACGUUUAAUUCAGGGGUGAAAUCCCGGGGCUCAACCUCGNUAAUUGCCUUUGAUACUGGAUGUCUCGAGACCGGAAGAGGUAAGUGGAACUGCGANUGUANAGGUGAAAUUCGUAUAUAUUCUCAAGAAC